CAGAGUGGGAGGGCGGCUGACGGUAGGACCACGGUCCGGCUGAGGAACUUCCCCUCUCCACAGGGCAAGGUGAAUUGGGAAAUCCAAUAGGGCGAGAGCCUUGGCAAGGGCCCAGAAACGACACAGUCCCGGUAACAAGGAUGAUCCGUCUGUCGGUGACAGUCCCGGGGAUCUGGUGAAACGGCGACACCUCACCGGAGCAAACUCAUACAGCCGGGAUGAACGGCCCGCGACCGGCGGGUAGAGCGCAUAGUCGAAUGCUGCCUGAAACAGAAAGGGGGGUACUACCCACACUG
rnacentral:RNase_P_RNA from 1 species